AGCAGCCGCGGUAAUUCCAGCUCCAAUAGCGUAUAUUAAAGUUGUUGCAGUUAAAAAGCUCGUAGUUGAAUUUCGGGGUUAGUAGGUUGGUCAUGCCUCUGGUAUGUACUGGUCUCACUGAUUCCUCCUUCCUGAUGAACCUUAAUGCCAUUAAUUUGGUGUUUUGGGGAAUUUGGACUGUUACUUUGAAAAAAUUAGAGUGUUUAAAGCAAGCUAACGCUUGAAUACAUUAGCAUGGAAUAAUGAAAUAGGACGUUCGAUCCUAUUUUGGUGGUUUCUAGGAUUGACGUAAUGAUUAAUAGGGAUAGUUGGGGGCAUUAGUAUUCAAUUGUCAAAGGUGAAAUUCUUGGAUUUAUUGAAGACUAACUACUGCGAAAGCAUUUGCCCAGGAUGUUUUCAUUAAUC
rnacentral:rRNA from 1 species